GAUGAACGCUGGCGGCGUGCCUAAUACAUGCAAGUCGAGCGAACGGACGAGAAGCUUGCUUCUCUGAUGUUAGCGGCGGACGGGUGAGUAACACGUGGAUAACCUACCUAUAAGACUGGGAUAACUUCGGGAAACCGGAGCUAAUACCGGAUAAUAUUUUGAACCGCAUGGUUCAAAAGUGAAAGACGGUCUUGCUGUCACUUAUAGAUGGAUCCGCGCUGCAUUAGCUAGUUGGUAAGGUAACGGCUUACCAAGGCAACGAUGCAUAGCCGACCUGAGAGGGUGAUCGGCCACACUGGAACUGAGACACGGUCCAGACUCCUACGGGAGGCAGCAGUAGGGAAUCUUCCGCAAUGGGCGAAAGCCUGACGGAGCAACGCCGCGUGAGUGAUGAAGGUCUUCGGAUCGUAAAACUCUGUUAUUAGGGAAGAACAGAUGUGUAAGUAACGGUGCACAUCUUGACGGUACCUAAGCAGAAAGCCACGGCUAACUACGU
rnacentral:rRNA from 1 species